rnacentral:misc_RNA from 1 species
AACGCACCUUGCGCUCCUUGGUAUUCCUUGGAGCAUGCCUGUUUGAGUGUCUUGAAUAUCUCUGCUCCCCCGCUUUUUUUUUUUUCUAAAAGCGGGCUUGGAGUCAGGUCCUUGGGCUUGCUUGUCUGUUUGUUACGAACACAUGCUUGCCUUAAAUGCAUUAGCUGGAUUUCAGUAGAGUUGUUAAGUAACAUUGAAAACUCUCAUAAGAUGAAGUCUGCUGUCCAACCCGACGAGUUGUGUGUCCCUUUUGGGGGCGCUAUGCUCUCACAUAUUCAUUUCUUUGGCCUCAAAUCAGGUAGGACUACCCGCUGAACUUAA